rnacentral:rRNA from 1 species
UACGGAGGAUGCAAGCGUUAUCCGGAAUGAUUGGGCGUAAAGCGUCCGCAGGUGGCUAUGUAAGUCUGCUGUUAAAGAGUGAGGCUCAACCUCAUAAGAGCAGUGGAAACUACAUGGCUAGAGUGCGUUCGGGGCAGAGGGAAUUCCUGGUGUAGCGGUGAAAUGCGUAGAGAUCAGGAAGAACACCGGUGGCGAAGGCGCUCUGCUGGGCCGCAACUGACACUGAGGGACGAAAGCUAGGGGAGCGAAUGGG